CAAAACCCAAACCCUCUCUCUUUCUCGCACUCAGCCUCUCCCUUUCCCCCGCCCUCUCUUCAUCUCCCACGCUCCCUCACCCUCUCUCUCUCGCACUCAGCCUAUCCCUUUCCCUCGCCCUCUCUCGAUCUCUGUCUCUUGGCCCCAUUCCCCUCUCUGUUUCCCAACCUCUCUCUCUCUCUCUCUCUAUUUUUCUGCAUGUCCUAAACAGCAUCAGUGAGUAGCUCUAACCCUCUGAGUUCAACGAGUGGAUCAGAUACGAGGAUUUCAACGAGGAUGGUUGCCAACCGGUGGAGUUGUGGUGAUGGUGAUGGUGAUGCCAAAUGGAGAGGGUGGAAGCAGAGGUUUCGAUGGGCUCGGCAGUUGUGUGCCGCAGAGUUGUGGCAGCUAGUUGAAGAUGUGGUGAUGGUGAUUUGCUGUUGAAUCUCAGUAGGCUCGAAGAUGAGUAGGGUUCAACAACUCUGUAUCCCCUGCCCAUGUAGAUGAUGAUGAAGAAUCCAUCUUUCAUUAGACUUGUUUCUUUCAGGGUAGAGGUCAGUAGUAUGAAUAAUGUUUGAUGGUAUCCACAAUUACAUCAAUUCCAAAAAGAGCUCAAGCUAAGUUUAUCUUAUGUUUUGUCAAACUUGUUCUCAUGUGACUACAAGGCUUAUAGACGAUAACUAAAACUUUGGGAAGUCAUCAUUGUAAUAUUACAGGGCUCCCCUGAAGAAUUCAUACACAGAAACCGAGAAGCCUUAGAAAGUGAAUAUGUAAGCUUUUAAUCUUCAUCACUGGAUCGACCUAUUAUUUGGUUACAAACAGCGUGGAAGUUACCUGUUUUUGCACUGAGUGGAAUUGCAACUGGCCCAAAUUGUGCUUCUAAAACGUGGUUUCUUAUCAUGGUUUUGUAUGUUUAAUAUAUUCAGAAGAUGUGGAAAAUGGCUUAAGGAAUGAUUUCUUAUCAUGGUUAAGCACAAGAGAAUUGAUUCUUAUAGAAUGAUUUCUUAUCAUGGUUAAGCAUAAGAGAAUUGAUUCUUAUAUAUUAAUGCAGCAACUAUGGAUUAAAGGUGACACUACCUAAUGCAUCUGUCCAUUGAAACGCUUCCUGCUGUACUUCUCCUAUGAACAUUUCUAUGCGAUAUACUGCAAAUUUUGGGAGCUGGAUAUGGAUCAUGAUUUAUUGAUUGAUAAAGAGAAUCUUAUUAGAUGUGGUAACCAUGCUCUCACAUACAGGAUUGUUGACGGAAUUUUUUCACAGAUUCCAACAAACUAUUCCAACAUAGAGAGCUUCCACCCUAGGAGGUACGUUUGAACCCCAUACAUUAGAACAAGGCUAACUACUUGGAUUUUGGUUAUAUAGCC